rnacentral:rRNA from 1 species
UACGUAGGGCGCAAGCGUUGUCCGGAAUUAUUGGGCGUAAAGAGCUCGUAGGCGGUUUGUCGCGUCUGCUGUGAAAGUCCGGGGCUCAACUCCAGAUCUGCGGUGGGUACGGGCAGACUAGAGUGAUGUAGGGGAGACUGGAAUUCCUGGUGUAGCGGUGAAAUGCGCAGAUAUCAGGAGGGACACCGAUGGCGAAGGCAGGUCUCUGGGCCACUACUGACGCUGAGAAGCGAAAGCAUGGGGAGCGAACAGG